AUGCUUAGGAAUCUGCCAUUUAGUGGGGGACAACAUUCCGAAAGGAAUGCUAAUACCGCAUACGUCCUACGGGAGAAAGCAGGGGAUCUUCGGACCUUGCGCUAAAUGAUGAGCCUAAGUCGGAUUAGCUAGUUGGUGGGGUAAAGGCCUACCAAGGCGACGAUCUGUAGCGGGUCUGAGAGGAUGAUCCGCCACACUGGGACUGAGACACGGCCCAGACUCCUACGGGAGGCAGCAGUGGGGAAUAUUGGACAAUGGGCGGAAGCCUGAUCCAGCCAUGCCGCGUGUGUGAAGAAGGCCUUUUGGUUGUAAAGCACUUUAAGCGAGGAGGAGGCUACUAGUACUAAUACUACUGGAUAGUGGACGUUACUCGCAGAAUAAGCACCGGCUAACUCUGUGCCAGCAGCCGCGGUAAUACAGAGGGUGCGAGCGUUAAUCGGAUUUACUGGGCGUAAAGCGUGCGUAGGCGGCUUUUUAAGUCGGAUGUGAAAUCCCCGAGC
rnacentral:rRNA from 1 species